ensembl:lncRNA HCG18 HLA complex group 18
GGGAAAGAGGAAACGUCGUGGCUGGCAGGGUAGGAAGGGAUGCGUGUCCAGGUGAGAAAGAGGUGUGACGUGCAGAUGGGAUGCCCGCCGCUAUGACGCUGCCGAGACCCGCGGUGACUGCGUCAGAGUUUCACCCGGGGAGAGCUCCCUCUUUGCCCACUAGCAGGGCAUUAGCUGGUGCUGAAGACAGUGGCUGCUUGGCGAGCCUGGAUCUCCAAGUGACCCCCUCAGCAACUCCUGAUGAACAGGGACUUGCACUUAGGAAUCUGUUACAGUGAGCACAGAAGCAGACCUGUGGGCUCAUAGUCUUCACCCCCCACCCAUAUAUACAAGAUGAACAGAGUGGAGGUUAAACAACUUGACUAAACAACACAGUUCAUGGUAAAGCCCAAGACUGUACCUGCCCAUCCACUGCCUUUUCCAUGUAUCCUGGAACUGAGCAUAGACCUCUUCCCAGGCAGAGCUGACAGCAAGUAAAGGAGAUCAUAAUCAGGGGACCAAACAACUUUGUCUAAAGUGUGAAUGUCACCUAAGGAGAAGCUGUGAGAUCAGAAGGGUGGGGCAGAGGAGCAGACACCAUGAGGGAGAGUCCUUGGGGGUACAUCUGCCAGACUGACACUGUCUGGCCUGGGCAGUGGAGGGGCUAGCAGGAACCACAGGUACUGGUGGUGUGGCUACUACCGUUACAACUGCCUGUGCUUGGACAUGGACCCUCUGCAAUAUGCGGCAGUUUCAUUCAUUGCCCCCUACAUUCUACACCAAGUAGAAAUGGAAGGCAAUUGGAUACUUCACAGACAAGAUCUAAGUGGAGAAGGAAUGCGUCCUGUGGCUGCAGAGAUCCUUGGAGCUUGGAGGGGAGAGCUUGAGCCCCACUGAUGAUGACCUCCCACAGCUCGCCAACUCAGCCCUCCCUAAGUCCCCAUCGGGGGCCAAUUCUCACUCUGGGGUUGGGGGGACUCCACCAUAGCUCAUCCAUCAUAGGGAUGUUGGUAUCUACUGUGGGUUGGGUAGGGCCGAUGUGCUGAGGAUGGCUCCCCCACAAGCAAGAGAUGUGGAUUUGGGGAGCUUCCCAUCUUGUGUUGAAGGAACAUAACUCAGAAUAAUAAGAGCCAACUAUAACAAACCCACAGCCAACAUCAUACUGAAUGGGCAAAAGCUGCAGGCAUUCCCCUUGAAAAGUGGCACAGGAUAAGGAAGCCCUUUCUCACCACUCCUAUUCAAUAUAGUGUUGAAAGUCCUGAUCACAGCAGUCAGGCAACAGAAAUAAUAAAGGGCAUCCAAAUAGGAAGAGAGGAAGUCAAACUAUCCUUGUUUGCAGACAGUAUGAUUCUAUAUCUAGAAAACCCCAUAGCCUCAGCCCAAAAGGUCCUUCAUCUGAUAAUUUCAGCAAAGUUUCAGGAGACAAAAUCAGUGUACAAAAAUCACUAACAUUCCUAUACACAGUCGCCAAGCCAAGAGCCAAAUCAGGAGCACAAUCCCAUUCAUAAUUGCCACAAAAAAGAAUAAAAUACCCAGGAAUGCAGCUAACCAAGGAAGUAAAGGAUCUCUACAAUGAGAAUCACAAACGCUGCUCAAAGAAAUCAGAGAUGACACAAACAAAUGGAAAAACUUUCCAUGCUCAUGGCUAGGAAGAAUCAAUAUCAUUAAAGUGGCCAUACUACCCAAAGCAAUUUAUAGAUUCAAUGCUAUUCCUAUCAAACUAUCAAUUACAUUUUUCACAGAACUAGAAAAAACUUAAAAUUCAUAUGGAACCAAAAAGCCUGAGUAGUCAAGGCAAUCCUAAACAAAAAGAACAAAGGUGGAGGCAUCACAUUACCUAACUUCAAACUACAGGGCUACCAUGACCAAAACAGCAUGGUACUGGUACAAAAGCAGACACACAGACCAGUGGGACAGAAUAGAGAGCCCAAAAAUAAGGCCACAAACCUACAGCCAUCUGAUCUUCAACAAAGUUGACAAAAACAAGCAAUGGGGAAAGGUCUCCCUAUUCAAUAAAUGGUGCUGGGAUAACUGGCUGGCCAUAUGCAGAAGAUCGUAACUGGACCCCUUUUACUAUGUACAAAAAUUAAGAUGGUUUAAAGAGUUAAAACCCAAAAUUAUAAAAAUCCUGAAGAUAACUUAGGCAAUACCAUUCUGGACAUAGGAACUGGCAAAUAUUUCAUGAUGAAGACACCAAAAGCAAUUGUAACAAAAGCAAAAAUGGACAAAUUGGAUUUAAGAGCUUUUUCAUAGCAAAAUAAACAACAGGGCAGACAAUCUACCAAAUGACAGAAAAUUUUUGCAAACUAUGCAUCUGACAAGGGGCUAAUAUCUAGCAUCUAUAAGGAAUUUAAACACAGUUACAGGAAAAAAAAAACCCACUCCAUUAAAAAAUGGGCAAAGGACAUGAACAGACACUUUUCAAAAAAGACAUACAUACAGCCAACUAGCGUGUUAAAGAAAACCUCAAUUAUCACUGAUCAUUAGAGAAAUGCAAAAUCAAAACCAUGAUGAGAUAUCAUCUGCCAGUCAGGAUGGCUACAAAAAAGUAAAAAAAUAAUAGAUGUUGGUGAGGUUAUGGAGAAAAGGAACUUAUACACUUGUUAGGAGUGUAAAUUAGUUCAAUCACUGUGGACAGCAGUGUGGUGAUUCCUCAGAGAGCUAAAAACAACUACCAUUUGACUCACCAAUCCCAUUACUGGAUAUUUACCUAAAGGAAUAUAAAUCAUUCCACCAUAAAGACACAUGCAAGUGUAUGUUCAUUGCAGCACUAUUAACAGUAACAAAGCUGGGCACAGUGGCUCACCUCACGACUGUAAUCCCAGCACUUUGGGAGGCUGAGGUAGGCGGAUCACCUGAGGUCGGCAGUUUGAGACCAGCCUGACCAACAUGGAGAGACCCCAUCUCUACUAAAAAUACAAAAUUAGCCAGGUGUGGUGGCUCAUGCCUGUAAUCCCAGCUACUUGGGAGGCCAAGGCAGGAGAAUUGCUUGAACCCAGGAGGCAGAGGUUGCAGUGAGCCGAGAUCACACCAUUGCACUCUAGCCUGGUGAAGGAGCAAG